rnacentral:rRNA from 1 species
ACACGAACCGUCCAAACGUUAUUCGGUAUCACUGGGCUUAAAGCGUGCGUAGGCGGCUUGGUAGGUGAGAUGUGAAAGCCCACGGCUCAACCGUGGAAUAGCGUCUCAAACCCCCAAGCUCGAGGAAGCUAGGGGUGAUGGGAACUUAUGGUGGAGCGGUGAAAUGCGUUGAUAUCCUAGGGAACACCGGUGGCGAAGGCGCAUCACUGGAUCUUUUCUGACGCUGAGGCACGAAAGCUAGGGUAGCGAACGGAAUUAGAAACCCUAGUAGUCC